UACGUAGGUGACAAGCGUUGUCCGGAUUUACUGGGCGUAAAGAGCGCGCAGGCGGUCGAUCAAGUCGAGUGUGAAAGCCCCCGGCUCAACUGGGGAGGGUCAUUCGAUACUGAUCGACUCGAAGGCAGGAGAGGGUAGUGGAAUUCCCGGUGUAGAGGUGAAAUUCGUAGAUAUCGGGAGGAACACCGGUGGCGAAGGCGGCGACCUGGGUCGAGACUGACGCUGAGGCGCGAAAGCGUGGGGAGCAAACAGG
rnacentral:rRNA from 1 species